rnacentral:rRNA from 1 species
GACGAACCGUGCGAACGUUGUUCGGAAUCACUGGGCUUAAAGGGCGCGUAGGCGGGCAAGCAAGUCGAAGGUGAAAGCCCCCAGCUUAACUGGGGAAGUGCCCCCGAUACUGCUUGUCUUGAGGGAGAUAGGGGCGUGCGGAACUUCCGGUGGAGCGGUGAAAUGCGUAGAUAUCGGAAGGAACACCGGUGGCGAGAGCGGCGCGCUGGAUCUCUUCUGACGCUGAGGCGCGAAAGCCAGGGGAGCGAACGGG